ensembl:lncRNA
CUCUGACUCUGUUAACAUCUCAAGCAGACGUGAGGUUUUGCUGGAAGUGAAGAAUUUGGGAUCCAUCCAUUCCAGGCCCUCCUGAGCAGAACCUGCGUGGAAUCAAGAGCAGAAAAGCUUCAGUGUGAGAGCUUCAGGACUGCGCUUGGGGAUGAGACACCUCCAAAGGAGAUGGCACCCACUGAUGGAUGGAGCUCCAACCCCGACCUGCUCCUCGCUUCAUCCACGUCUUCUCACAAAUGCAAUACGGAUGGG